rnacentral:rRNA from 1 species
ACCUGGGAAACAGAUAGCUAAUACCGGAUAACAACAGAUGAUGCCUAUCAACUGUUUAAAGAUGGUUCUGCUAUCACUCUUGGAUGGACCUGCGGUGCAUUAGCUAGUUGGUAGGGGUAACGGGCCUACCAAGGCGAUGAUGCAUAGCCCGAGUUGAGAGACCGAUCGGCCACAUUGGGGACUGAGACACGGGCCCAAACUCCUACGGGAGGCAGCAGUAGGGAAUCUUCCACAAUGGACGCAAGUCUGAUGGAGCAAACGCCGCGUGAGUGAAGAAGGGUUUCGGCUCGUAAAAAGCUCUGUUGUUGGUGAAGAAGGACAGGGGUAGUAACUGACCCUUUGUUUGACGGUAAUCAAUUAGAAAGUCACGGGCUAACUACGUGCCAGCAGCCGCGGUAAAU